UGGUAACACAUGUAGCUGAUUGUUACUAAUAGGUCGAGGGCUUAACCUAA
rnacentral:rRNA from 1 species